UACGGAGGGGGGCUAGCGUUGUUCGGAAUUACUGGGCGUAAAGCGCGCGUAGGCGGUUUGGUAAGUCUGUCGUGAAAGCCCCGGGCUUAACCUGGGAAUUGCGAUGGAGACUGCAAGGCUUGAAUCUGGCAGAGGGGGGUAGAAUUCCACGUGUAGCAGUGAAAUGCGUAGAGAUGUGGAGGAACACCGAUGGCGAAGGCAGCCCCCUGGGUCAAGAUUGACGCUCAUGCACGAAAGCGUGGGGAGCAAACAGG
rnacentral:rRNA from 1 species